rnacentral:lncRNA from 1 species
CUUUCAGUUUAUUGCUACUGUAUUUAGUAUAUCUGCUCAUUACCUUAUACAUCUCUUACGUUUACUACUGUUCCUACUGUAUUCCCACUGACCCGUACUGUUAUAUAGCUCUUCCUGAUCCGGUGAGUACUCCUCGCCUUCUUCGGCUUGCGGUACCCACUGGGAGGGGAGACAUGUUUACAUGUUCUCACCUCCCCCACCAUUUUUCAGGUAUCGCGGGCGAUGAGUAGUGGGACGAGACGUGAGGUACGUGUGUAGCGGUCGAUAGAGCUUCCGACCCAGGUUAUUUCGGUAUAAUGAUUAUCCUUAUUAUUUCAGUUGUUAUAGCUUAGAUAGUUAUAUGGUUCAGUAUUUUUAUUACAUUUGAAAAUAUGGAUUUUCGUG